UUAAGUUAGAAAGGGCGCACGGUGGAUGCCUUGACACUAGGAGUCGAUGAAGGACGGGACUAACGCCGAUAUGCUUCGGGGAGCUGUAAGUAAGCUUUGAUCCGAAGAUUUCCGAAUGGGGAAACCCACCAUACGUAAUGGUAUGGUAUCCUUAUCUGAAUACAUAGGGUAAGGAAGACAGACCCAGGGAACUGAAACAUCUAAGUACCUGGAGGAAGAGAAAGCAAAUGCGAUUUCCUGAGUAGCGGCGAGCGAAACGGAACAUAGCCCAAACCAAGAGGCUUGCCUCUUGGGGUUGUAGGACAUUCUAUACGGAGUUACAAAGGAACGAGGUAGACGAAGCGACCUGGAAAGGUCCGUCGUAGAGGGUAACAACCCCGUAGUCGAAACUUCGUUCUCUCUUGAAUGUAUCCUGAGUACGGCGGAACACGUGAAAUUCCGUCGGAAUCUGGGAGGACCAUCUCCCAAGGCUAAAUACUCCCUAGUGAUCGAUAGUGAACCAGUACCGUGAGGGAAAGGUGAAAAGCACCCCGGAAGGGGAGUGAAAGAGAUCCUGAAACCGUGUGCCUACAAAUAGUCAGAGCCCGUUAACGGGUGAUGGCGUGCCUUUUGUAGAAUGAACCGGCGAGUUACGAUCCCGUGCGAGGUUAAGCUGAAGAGGCGGAGCCGCAGCGAAAGCGAGUCUGAAUAGGGCGUUUAGUACGUGGUCGUAGACCCGAAACCAGGUGAUCUACCCAUGUCCAGGGUGAAGUUCAGGUAACACUGAAUGGAGGCCCGAACCCACGCACGUUGAAAAGUGCGGGGAUGAGGUGUGGGUAGCGGAGAAAUUCCAAUCGAACCUGGAGAUAGCUGGUUCUCCCCGAAAUAGCUUUAGGGCUAGCCUUAAGUGUAAGAGUCUUGGAGGUAGAGCACUGAUUGGACUAGGGGUCCUCAUCGGAUUACCGAAUUCAGUCAAACUCCGAAUGCCAAUGACUUAUCCUUAGGAGUCAGACUGCGAGUGAUAAGAUCCGUAGUCAAAAGGGAAACAGCCCAGACCGCCAGCUAAGGUCCCAAAGUGUGUAUUAAGUGGAAAAGGAUGUGGAGUUGCUUAGACAACUAGGAUGUUGGCUUAGAAGCAGCCACCAUUUAAAGAGUGCGUAAUAGCUCACUAGUCGAGUGACUCUGCGCCGAAAAUGUACCGGGGCUAAAUACACCACCGAAGCUGCGGAUUGAUACCAAUGGUAUCAGUGGUAGGGGAGCGUUCUAAGGACAGUGAAGUCAGACCGGAAGGACUGGUGGAGUGCUUAGAAGUGAGAAUGCCGGUAUGAGUAGCGAAAGACGGGUGAGAAUCCCGUCCACCGAAUGCCUAAGGUUUCCUGAGGAAGGCUCGUCCGCUCAGGGUUAGUCAGGACCUAAGCCGAGGCCGACAGGCGUAGGCGAUGGACAACAGGUUGAUAUUCCUGUACCACCUCUUUAUCGUUUGAGCAAUGGAGGGACGCAGAAGGAUAGAAGAAGCGUGCGAUUGGUUGUGCACGUCCAAGCAGUUAGGCUGAUAAGUAGGCAAAUCCGCUUAUCGUAAAGGCUGAGCUGUGAUGGGGAAGCUCCUUAUGGAGCGAAGUCUUUGAUUCCCCGCUGCCAAGAAAAGCUUCUAGCGAGAUAAAAGGUGCCUGUACCGCAAACCGACACAGGUAGGCGAGGAGAGAAUCCUAAGGUGUGCGAGAGAACUCUGGUUAAGGAACUCGGCAAAAUGACCCCGUAACUUCGGGAGAAGGGGUGCUUUCUUAACGGAAAGCCGCAGUGAAUAGGCCCAAGCGACUGUUUAGCAAAAACACAGCUCUCUGCGAAGCCGUAAGGCGAAGUAUAGGGGGUGACACCUGCCCGGUGCUGGAAGGUUAAGGAGAGGGGUUAGCGUAAGCGAAGCUCUGAACUGAAGCCCCAGUAAACGGCGGCCGUAACUAUAACGGUCCUAAGGUAGCGAAAUUCCUUGUCGGGUAAGUUCCGACCCGCACGAAAGGUGUAACGAUUUGGGCACUGUCUCAACCAGAGACUCGGUGAAAUUAUAGUACCUGUGAAGAUGCAGGUUACCCGCGACUGGACGGAAAGACCCCGUGGAGCUUUACUGUAGCCUGAUAUUGAAUUUUGGUACAGUUUGUACAGGAUAGGCGGGAGCCAUUGAAACCGGAGCGCUAGCUUCGGUGGAGGCGCUGGUGGGAUACCGCCCUGACUGUAUUGAAAUUCUAACCUACGGGUCUUAUCGACCCGGGAGACAGUGUCAGGUGGGCAGUUUGACUGGGGCGGUCGCCUCCUAAAGUGUAACGGAGGCGCCCAAAGGUUCCCUCAGAAUGGUUGGAAAUCAUUCGUAGAGUGCAAAGGCAUAAGGGAGCUUGACUGCGAGACCUACAAGUCGAGCAGGGACGAAAGUCGGGCUUAGUGAUCCGGUGGUUCCGCAUGGAAGGGCCAUCGCUCAACGGAUAAAAGCUACCCCGGGGAUAACAGGCUUAUCUCCCCCAAGAGUCCACAUCGACGGGGAGGUUUGGCACCUCGAUGUCGGCUCAUCGCAUCCUGGGGCUGUAGUCGGUCCCAAGGGUUGGGCUGUUCGCCCAUUAAAGCGGUACGCGAGCUGGGUUCAGAACGUCGUGAGACAGUUCGGUCCCUAUCCGUCGUGGGCGUAGGAAAUUUGAGAGGAGCUGUCCUUAGUACGAGAGGACCGGGAUGGACGCACCGCUGGUGUACCAGUUGUUCUGCCAAGGGCAUAGCUGGGUAGCUAUGUGCGGAAGGGAUAAGUGCUGAAAGCAUCUAAGCAUGAAGCCCCCCUCAAGAUGAGAUUUCCCAUAGCGUAAGCUAGUAAGAUCCCUGAAAGAUGAUCAGGUUGAUAGGUUCGAGGUGGAAGCAUGGUGACAUGUGGAGCUGACGAAUACUAAUAGAUCGAGGACUUAACCAU
rnacentral:rRNA from 1 species